UACGGGGGGGGCAAGCGUUGUUCGGAAUUACUGGGCGUAAAGGGCUCGUAGGUGGCCAACUAAGUCAGACGUGAAAUCCCUCAGCUUAACUGGGGAACUGCGUCUGAUACUGGAUGGCUUGAGUUUGGGAGAGGGAUGCCGGAAUUCCAGGUGUAGCGGUGAAAUGCGUAGAUAUCUGGAGGAACACCGGUGGCGAAGGCGGCAUCCUGGACCAACACUGACACUGAUGAGCGAAAGCCAGGGGAGCAAACGGGAUUAGAAAACCCUCGGUAG
rnacentral:rRNA from 1 species